UACAGAGGGGGCGAGCGUUGUUCGGAAUUACUGGGCGUAAAGGGCGCGUAGGCGGCCUUCUAAGUCGAACGUGAAAUCCCCGGGCUCAACCCGGGAACUGCGUCCGAUACUGGGAGGCUUGAAUCCGGGAGAGGGAUGCGGAAUUCCAGGUGUAGCGGUGAAAGUGCGUGAGAUAUCUGGAGGAACACCGGUGGCGAAGGCGGCAUCCGUGGACCGGCAUUGACGCUGAGGAGCGAAAGCCAGGGGAGCAAAGCGGGG
rnacentral:rRNA from 1 species